GGAGGAGUAGCGAAGUGGCUAAACGCGACGGACUGUAAAUCCGUUCCUUAGGGUUCAGUGGUUCGAAUCCACUU
rnacentral:tRNA from 1 species